ensembl:lncRNA
GGAAAAAUGGUCAUGUUGAGGUAGGAGCAACACUUUCAGGAGGAUAAAGGUGGGAGUAAAUUUCCGGGGAUCAGGGAAGGGAAGACCUCAGAGGAUGUGAAAGAAUGCUUUCCAGAUUUAUCCAGUAUCCAUAGGCAAGUGCCCGGCUACUCCUGACCUCGUCACUCCACUUUUAGCACAUGCUCCCUAUUUGUUUUAAAAUGGCUCAGUUUACAACUUCACCAAAAACACAGGACCACAUGAACACCUUGCUAGGGCCCUUCCUGGGGCCUAGAGGAGGCUCAAGGAGAUGCAGUCACCAACCUCCGUGAUCCAGACCAAGCCUCACCUCGAGAGCCAAGCGUAUGACCUUUGCCUUAUUUUUAAUGCUGAGAUCUCUCCAGGAGGAGCUUAGCCCUUAUUACCCUGACCUGCAGUGUAUGUGGAAGCGUGUUUUCCAACGGAGCCUGUGCAAGAGAACACCCACUUCUUCCUUUUGAAUAUUUAUUCCCCAUCCGACAUAAAUGUCCCUGCUUUCCUUUGUUCGGGGACGCCACGACUCUGGAAAUGAUUCCGCUUGGUCUCCUAUUUGCCGCAAAUACACUUCACUUUGUGAGACAACUACUUCUGGUGGAGAGUUGGAUUGAACUGGCCAGGAGGGAACCCACUUUGGUUUCGGUAACACUUCUUCUGUGGGCAGUUGUGUGAGGAGGCUCGUGAGCAGAGAUGACUGCGCAGCUGGCUUCCUGGAGUCCAUGCUGUGGGGUCCCAGAGGACCAGGUAUAACCCUACAUGCAAAUCACGCCCAAAUGUGCAAGAACUCACCUUCCUUCUCGGGCUGUAUAAAUGUGCCAAGUGUCAGGCUG